UUUUGUGUUCGGUUACAUUUUUAUGUCUCGAUGCGCUUUCUGAUUCGACUUUUUUGCCCUUUUUGUGGGUUUAUUUUGGACUUUUGGUUAAAGGGUACGUGUUAAGGGGAAUUAGGGUGGUUGUGCAUGAGCAGAUUGGUGUAAUGAUGAAAGAUUUUGACUGCUUUUACACAUUUCUGACGCACAAGAUCUGGAAUAAUGGGGGAGAAAACUGAAAAGGCCUUCAUCAUUACUAUCUACUCUUUUAUUUUGUUUUUUUCCUUAUAAAUUUCAUCAUCAAAUUUUGUGUAAUUUUCUGUCAGUCUCUUCUCUAGCUUUCUACAGUUCAUCAUUGGGCCGAUCUUUUUCCCGAUGCCUCCAAGAAUCCCAUCUGUCCGUUUCUGCUCUCGCUCACUAGAUCUGCUUUUCCAAAAGGAUCGACUCCACCUUCUUCUUCUUAGGGUUUCACAGCGGAUGUUUGAUGCGCAGAAAAGCUUUAAUUUUCUCUUUAUCUUUCUGAACUCUCAGGGUGAAGAUGUAUUUGCGUUUUCCAGGCAACGAGAAGAUUUGAGUGGCUUUUGUGAAAAGCGUAUGCUGCACACCGUCUCCAGAUAGCAACUUGCUUAAAGAAAGGUAAAGGAAUAAUCUUUGAAGGUUGUGACCUGUAAGCUGUGUUUGAGAAGCAACCUAGCUAGCUUGCAGCAGUACCCUGUAUCUGUAUUUCCCUGAAACUCUACACUGUAUACCAUGUUUAAACGUACCCUUUUCAUUUCUUUGUUUUUCUUAAAAAAACUUUUAACUCAUUGUUUACCCAUUAGAUAAAAAUCAUCAGGAGGUUUUUAGGACCUUUUUGCCUAUUAUAUUGCCAGUUAAAGCCUUUUCAUAUGUAAAGAAUCCCUCAACCCCAACAUGGACGAGUCAACCUUUUUCUUUUCAUCACACACACACACACACGUAUAUAUAUAUUAUUCUAAGCAAGAUUACUGUUCUUCCCAUUAAUCUCGUUUGCUUUUGUGCUCAAGCAAGCAAGUCAAAAGCUUCCUCAGUGCAAAAACAGCAGAGAUAGCCCCUAGGAUGUGUUGGGAUUCUGAAUGGCCGAGCUUGUUGGAAAAAGGUAGGUCUGCAUUGUGAAAGGGAAUAGUAUGAAGCUUUUCUCAAAAGUUUUCUUUCAAGUGGGUUGUUUUUUAAAAAAAAAAGAAAAAAAAGAAAAGAAAAAAAGAGCCAAUGCAUAACUCUGAGGUGAAAUUUUUAAUUGGGUUAGUCCUACGCUUAUAUAUUAUAUAUAUGCAAAGUGGCAAGGAUAGAUGAACGUCUAUGUUCAGUCUUAAGUUACCGUUUGUGCAUUGCAUGGUAGUAAAAGGCGUGAAUGGUAGAUCUCAGGAGCAGCAGGCACAGUGCAAUAGUACUGCACUGUCGAAUCACCCCAGCACUGUUCACAGGGCUAGCUAGCAAUUACUGAUAGAUAGGGGUAGCUGGCUAAAACUAUCAUCUCCAAUCUGCUGAGUUUAGGAUCAAAUUGUAUUUAAGUUGACAGUUCUAACAAAAGCUAAGCUUGCUGGUUGCCCUAACUUGUUCAUAUAUAGCCAAGUCCCUACAUCUAUUUAUGUGUGUGUGUGUGCGUGUGUGUGCGUGUGUAGCAGGUGAUGGGAAGAACUGAAGAAAUCCAAAACUCUGGAAGACAAUUAAGGGACAGCCGUGGCAAAAGGGUCAGCUGGUCUUAAUUAAGUGGGUAUGGCGAGAGCCUUGUUCUGUGACUUUGUCUUCUACUCCUGAAGCUGUGGCAUAUGGAACGCUGCACUGGAUUUAAAUGCUCUGUCCCCCCCCCCCUCCCCUCCCGGGCCUCUGUCUCUCUCUCUCUCUCUCUCUCAUUGUAUGUAUUUGUCAUUUAUGUAUGAGAGAGCUUCUGGUGCAGAUGAGUCAACAUCAGCAUUUACGUGCAGAACUGGAUUCCUUUUUACCCUUGUCUGUGAUUAUUGGGGUAUGAUUUUUCCAGUUGGGCAAAACUUUAUUUGCCAAACAAACCCAAUUAAUUCCCAAUUCCCAAUUCAAAAAAAGCGUAAUUAGUCCA